AUGUGUGUGCCAAAAGAUAAGGAAGGUAUGAGGUUUCAAGACAUGCAUAGUUUUAACUUGGCUAUGUUGGCAAAACAGUGUUGGGGGUUAAUUGAGAAUUAUGACACCUUAUGCGCCAGAGCGCUAAGAGCCAGAUAUUACCCCAGCCGAGAUUUGUUAAAUUGUGAGUUGAAAAAAGGAUCAUCAUUUGUUUGGCAGAGUAUUUUGGCAGGUACUCAAACCUUCAAAAAAGGGUGCAUAUGGAGAGUUGGAGAUGGAGCAAAAAUAAACAUCUGGAAUGAUUGUUGGAUUCCUACCAGUGCCUCAAGGAAAAUAAUUACUGUUUGUGGAAACCAGGUGCUCACGAAUGUUUGUGAUCUCGUCAACCCAUCUUUGGGCGAAUGGGACGAACAACUAAUUAGGCAUAAUUUUUGGCACAUUGACAUUGAGCGUAUUUUGCAAAUACCAUUAUUUCGGCAAGCUAUAGAUGAUUUUCUUGCCUGGCACCUAAAUAAAAACGGAAUCUUCACAGUAUGGUCUGCAUAUUAUAAACAUUGGGAAGAUACGUACAUUCGGGAAGCCUUAAUGGGGAGCUAUCAGAGUGGCUCGGUGCCACAUCCAAUAUGGAAAAAGAGUUGGAACCUCAAGUUGCUAGGGAAAAUAAAGAUCUUCAUUUGGAGGUGUGUGCAUAACACAAUACCGUGCUUUUAG
rnacentral:rRNA from 1 species